rnacentral:rRNA from 1 species
GUGAGUAACCUGCCCUUGACUCUGGGAUAAGCCUGGGAAACUGGGUCUAAUACCGGAUACGACCGCUCCACGCAUGUGGUGGUGGUGGAAAGCUUUUGCGGUUUUGGAUGGACUCGCGGCCUAUCAGCUUGUUGGUGGGGUAAUGGCCUACCAAGGCGACGACGGGUAGCCGGCCUGAGAGGGUGACCGGCCACACUGGGACUGAGACACGGCCCAGACUCCUACGGGAGGCAGCAGUGGGGAAUAUUGCACAAUGGGCGCAAGCCUGAUGCAGCGACGCCGCGUGAGGGAUGACGGCCUUCGGGUUGUAAACCUCUUUCAGUAGGGAAGAAGCGUAAGUGACGGUACCUGCAGAAGAAGCGCCGGCUAACUACGUGCCAGCAGCCGCGGUAAUACGUAGGGCGCAAGCGUUAUCCGGAAUUAUUGGGCGUAAAGAGCUCGUAGGCGGUUUGUCGCGUCUGCUGUGAAAGACCGGGGCUCAACUCCGGUUCUGCAGUGGGUACGGGCAGACUAGAGUGAUGUAGGGGAGACUGGAAUUCCUGGUGUAGCGGUGAAAUGCGCAGAUAUCAGGAGGAACACCGAUGGCGAAGGCAGGUCUCUGGGCAUUAACUGACGCUGAGGAGCGAAAGCAUGGGGAGCGAACAGGAUUAGAUACCCUGGUAGUCCAUGCCGUAAACGUUGGGCACUAGGUGUGGGGGACAUUCCACGUUUUCCGCGCCGUAGCUAACGCAUUAAGUGCCCCGCCUGGGGAGUACGGCCGCAAGGCUAAAACUCAAAGGAAUUGACGGGGGCCCGCACAAGCGGCGGAGCAUGCGGAUUAAUUCGAUGCAACGCGAAGAACCUUACCAAGGCUUGACAUGAACCGGUAACGCCUGGAAACAGGUGCCCCGCUUGCGGUCGGUUUACAGGUGGUGCAUGGUUGUCGUCAGCUCGUGUCGUGAGAUGUUGGGUUAAGUCCCGCAACGAGCGCAACCCUCGUUCCAUGUUGCCAGCACGUAGUGGUGGGGACUCAUGGGAGACUGCCGGGGUCAACUCGGAGGAAGGUGGGGACGACGUCAAAUCAUCAUGCCCCUUAUGUCUUGGGCUUCACGCAUGCUACAAUGGCCGGUACAAAGGGUUGCGAUACUGUGAGGUGGAGCUAAUCCCAAAAAGCCGGUCUCAGUUCGGAUUGGGGUCUGCAACUCGACCCCAUGAAGUCGGAGUCGCUAGUAAUCGCAGAUCAGCAACGCUGCGGUGAAUACGUUCCCGGG